ACAGGUUUUGAUAAAUCUCCUCCUAUGGACAUAAUCUAAUGUAUCUGAGUGAUGACACUUAUUGAAUGUAGCAGAACAUUACAGGCCAUUACAAGGCUUUAUUAUUUCUGCCAUUAGCAGCAAGUACAUGGUCUGGUUUAUUCCAGCCUCCUUAUUCUAACCUUCCAGCAGAGUUUAUGGGCACCACUGCCAACCUAUACAACACAUAAAAGUCACAUCACCUGCCCCAUCUACUAAUAAUAAAGCACUACAAGAACCAGCCAUGAAUAUCUCCAUUCUUCUGGACCCUAGGCUAUCACCCAUGAUGCCUAUAUCACAAUGUAUAUGGAUCCACAGGUCCCUGGACCACUGGUAGCAGGUGCCACCUGAUGUUUUGAUGACAUCACGUCACCUGGACAACGGCUGUUGUUGUUGUUUACCCACAACUGUCAGUUGGACCGAGCGGACGGACGUCUACAGGAUCCCAAAGAUGGCGGCUACUGGAAGAAGAGGAGAUGUCGAGAAGGAGAGAGGAGAGAAGAGGGAAGAGGAGAGCGGAGGAAAGAGGAAGAGGGAAGAGGAAAGCGAGGAGGUGAAGGAGAGCGGAAAGAAGAGGAAGGAGGAAGAGGUGAGCGAGGAGGUGAAGAAGAGGAAGAGAGAAGAGGAAAGAGAGGAGGUGAAGGAGAGCAGAGAGAAGAGGAAGGAGGAAGAUGUGAGCGAGGAGGUGAAGAAGAGGAAGAGAGAAGAGGAAAGUGAGGAGGUGGAGAAGACAGGAGUGAAGAGGAAGGAGGAAGAUGUGAGCGAGGAGGUGAACAAGAGGAAGAGAGAAGAGGAAAGCGAGGAGGUGGAGAAGACAGGAGAGAAGAGGAAGGAGGAAGAGGUGAGCGAGGAGGUGAAGAAGAGGAAGAGAGAAGAGGAAAGCGAGGAUGUGGAGAAGAGGAGAGGAGAAGAUGCCAGAUUAUUGGAGGAUGAGGAGCCAAGACCAGGCACCAGUCAGGACCCCGGAACAUCAAGCUCCUACCCCAAAUUUAACAUCUAUCACCUCACUAUCCAUCAGGUAUUGGGUAGGGGCAGCUUUGGAGUGAUUUUUCCCAGGUUGCAAUGCGGCCGAGACCUGACUCACUAGUCAGCUGAUGACAGGGAGCCUGUCUGCUUCAAUGGGUGGAGUGAUCGCUUGGUGGGAGAGAGAUCAAUCUGCAACUAUUGCAACAACUGUAGGCACCCUGAUUGAAAACCACAGGUCUUUUGAAUGAAUGCUGCUCAUUUAUGGGAGUGUGACUGAUGUGUGGGAGGGAGGAAAAUGGAAUUAUGGGCUUUGUAGGCAAAGAAGUAAACUCAAAAAGGAAAUACUAGUUCACAAAAAGCUAGCCACAGCGUUAUGGUAAUCUCACGCCAUUUAGCCCCAAGACAAGCGCAGAUCCUUCCUAAGCAUGUCCAUUAAUGUCUGCCAGCCAAUGCAGAUCUGGAGGUGUCUGCAGUAUAAGACAUAUUCUAACAGCAGAAAAGUAACUGCAGCUCUGGAAGUGACAGGAGGAUAAGACAUGUUGUGACAGCAGAAUAGUGACAGCAGCUCUUAAGGUGACUGGAGGAUAAGUCAAAAUAUAACAGCAGAAUACUGACUGCAACUCUGGAGAUGACUGGAGUAUAACACAUGAUGUGAGAGCAGAAUAGUGGCUGCAGCUCUAGAGGUGAAAGGAGCUUAAGACAUGAUGUAACAGCAGAAUAGUGGUUGCAGCACUGGAGGCAACUUGAGGAUGCGACAAGAUGUAAUAGUAGAAAAGUAAGUACAGCUUUGGCAGUAACAGGAGGACGAGAUAUGGUGUAACAGCAAAAUAGUGUCUACCAUGCUGUGCCUGUAUUUAUCUGAAUAAAGCUUGAAGUUUUUUUUACCUGCUACCGUGGUGCCGGAUACUUCUAUUGCUGUCCAUGUCUGUGGAGGGGAACGCUACCCGACAGUCCAGGCACAGGAGCGGAGGAAAGGAUCAGAGCAGUGAAGCACAUUUUAUUAACAGCAAAAAAGUGAGUACACACACCUUGUCUCUGUCUUCUUCCUCUGUGAACGUGAAUCAGGUACCUGUCAUAGUGCCAAAAGAAAAAAAAGUGAUAUGUUGCUCAGUACCUAAUCCUGAUCCUGUACAUAUAAAAUGUUAUGUGUCUAGGACCUAUAUAUCCCUAACAGAUAGCAUUUAUAUCUUGGUCACUUGCUUUGUCUUCUUGCCUUGUGGAGGGGGCGUGUCCAUCUCUUUCCCUCACUGAGUCUGGGAGCAGCCUGGCAGUUUGCAGAUCUUUCUAAAUUAGUGCAAGGAUUUUAGUGAUAAAAACACAGUAGUUUUUAUGCAUACAUUUUAUAUCUGUUCCUAGUAAAGAUGGAUGCUAUUCCAGCUUUACUAGGAACAGAUAGAAAAUGUGUGUCAUUCAGCUUUAACAGACUCCUGAAUGUCUGUUCAGCUUCUUUGUCAUUCAGGAGUCAGAGAAAGCUUUGGCUGUUCAAGCAUGCUGGGAGUUGUAGUUUUGCAAUAACUUGAGCUACAGUGUUUGUAAAGCACUGUGUUAGAACAGUGUUGCCUUUAGCUGUUGCAAAACUACAACUCCCAGCAUGCCCACACAUCCUUUGUCUGUAGUUUUGCAAGAGAUGGAGACACACAGCUGGAGAAAACCCAGCUCUAACACAGAGUUUUACAAAGAUUGUAACUCCAGCUGUUGCAAAACUACAACUCCCAUCAUGGUAGUUGUAGUUUAGAAAUAGCUGAAGGCUGCAGUGGUGAUCUCCUAUACUGGAUACCAACACACUUUAUGGCCUGUAUCCAGUAUGCUGCAAAAUUCAGAGUAGUCUGUCUGCAUAAAGACUGAUGACCCCUAGUGGUGGUUAUUUUCAUUUUUCCUUUUUUAGUAAUUUUUUUUUUAUAAAUGUGUAUUUAAAAAAGUCAUCUUAUCAGUAGUACUACAAAAUAUAAAAAGUUUUUCAACAUGACAGUGUCUCUUUAAGCAUGCUCCUAUCGGUGAAGGGGAGGAGUUCCUGCACGGAAUAAAGAUAUGUGGUGGCACCCUGCCUCCGUCCUACAUGCCCCUAGGCCUUAUGUCCCCCCUUGCUAUCCUCCUGCACUGGCUCUUAGAAGAUCAGGGAGAAUGCAAGCUGGAGCUCUCUAUAUAAUACAUACAGACCUUCAGCUUGCAUGCUCCCCGAGAAGCAGCAAGACCUACGGUGGCCGGGCCCUCCGUGCCUGACCUGUCACACGCCCCUGCUACAGAGAAGCUGUCAUCUGGCCAAUUGUAUUGCAUCAUAGCUGUAGUCACUUGUAAGUUCUGCAGUGAUCAUGGGUGAAACAACAACUCCCAGCAUAACCUUAUUACUGCUAAGAUUUUACUGGGAGCUAUAUUAUCACAUGGUACAAACUUAUUGAGCAAUUGCCCCUUACUUGGCUUCACAACAGGCUAAAAAAUUACUUAGGGGGGCAUUAUAGGGUGACACCAUUUUCUACCACAACGGGUGACAUUAACCUUAGCAACACCACUGGUGCUCUGUAAUAGCUAGAGGCAAAGAGCUCGCUGUUACUGUGCUCCUCUGUGUGUGCCGCUGUGUCAGUCAAUGGGAGGUCAGCAGAGAAAGGUGUUGGCGGCCCUCUGAUACUCGGGCACAUUAUAAAGAAUUUAUUCUCUUUUGGCUAUAAAACAAUGAAAUAUACACAGAAACAUAUGAGUGGAAUAAGCUUUUUAACCCCCAUUACAAGGAUGUGAUAGAUGCCCAUUACAAGGAUAUGAUAGAUGCCCAUUACAAGGAUGUGAUAGAUGCCCAUUACAAGAAUGUGAUAGAUGCCCAUUACAAGGAUGUGAUAGAUGCCCAUUACAACGAUGUGGUAGAUGCCCAUUAAAAGGAUGUGAUAGAUGCCAAUUACAAGGAUGUGGUAGAUGCCCAUUACAAGGAUGUGGUAGAUGCCCAUUACAAGGAUGUGAUAGAUGCCCAUUACAAGGAAGUGAUAGAUGCCCAUUACAAGGAUGUGAUAGAUUCCCAUUACAAGGAUGUGAUAGAUGCCCAUUACAAGGAUGUGAUAGAUGCCCAUUACAAGGAUGUGGUAGAUGCCCAUUACAAGGAUGUCAUAGAUGCCCAUUACAAGGAUGUGAUAGAUGCCCAUUACAAGGAUGUGAUAGAUGCCCAUUACAAGGAUGUGAUAGAUGCCCAUUACAAGGAUGUGAUAGAUGCCCUUUUUCAUCCAUUAUGCCUGGGCUGCCAAAAAAAACAAAACUGUAACUCACAUUCCGCUACUCCCCCCGUGUGCCAAUAUCGGUCGUCUAUCUUCUGGGCCCGGUCUUUUUCCGCAUCUUGGAGCUUAUCGCUGGCCGCAGUGAUGUCUCGCCUUACAUGACACUGUGCUCAGUCUAUCACCAGUCAAGGCAGGAGGGACAUUGCUGUGGCCGGCUAUAAGCUGAGCGCAGUGCCCCACUGAGAGACGUGAUUGUCCGGCACCGCCUCUGUUGCAUGCUUGGAGUACUGUUAGUACCACAAUAAUGACAGAUAUAUAGUUGAUAUUGGAUUUUGCACAGUAUUUAGUAAAAUUCUAAUUAUAAAAAUACAUAAUAAAUAAAAAGUUUUAAAAAAUUAAGAAAAAAAUAUAUUAUUUUUACAAUUACAUGGACCCCUUAUCCAUUUGUAAUACUGCCGGCUACAUUUUCAGGUCCCUGCCCGUUCACAUAAAUCAUUCCCUGAUUGAAAAAAAAAAAAUAAAUGUAUAUAUAUAUUAAAAUAUCUAAAAUUUGUUCCCUACAAAUUUUCCCAUCCAUACUGCAUCAUUUUAUCUAUCUAUCUAUCUAUCUAUCUAUCUAUCUAUCCAUAUAUAUAUAUAUAUUUAUAUAUAUAAAACUCAAUGUGUGUAUGUGUGUAUGUAUGUGUGUAAGUUCCAGCAUCACGUCCAAACGGCUAAAGAUAUUAACAUGAAACUUGGCACACAUGUUACUAAUAGGUCAACAACAAACAUAGGAUUUGCCAAGGGCGGGGUUUUUGUUUAAAGUCCCAUACAAGUCUAUGGGAAUUACUGUAGAUGCUACUGCAUAACUUCCAAACGGCUGGAGAUAUUUUGAUAAUACUUGGUCACAUGUUACUUAUAUGUCCACUUAAAAUAUAGGAUAGCUAAUUUAACCCUUAACUACCCCCAUUUGUGAGGGUCAGGGUUUUUGUUUAAAGUCCCAUGCAAAUCAAUGGGAAAUGUAUGUUCCCACAUAACUUCCGUACGGCUGGACAUAUUUCAAUAACGGGUACACAUAUUACGGGUCAGGAUAGGAGGUCGGGAUGGGAGUUCGAGAUAGGAGGUCAAGAUAGGAGAACAGGAUAUGAGGACUGGAUAGGAGGAUGGGAUAGGAGGUCGAGAUAUGAGGACUGGAUAGGAGGUCGGGAUAUGAGGAAGGGAUAGGAGGACGGGAUAUGAGGAAGGGAUAGGAGGUCGGAUAGGUGGUCGAGAUAGGAAGACGGGAUAUGAGGACAGGAUAGGAGGAAGGGAUAGGAGGUCGAGAUAGGAGGACUGGAUAGGAGGAUGGGAUAUGAGGACGGGAUAGGAGUUCGGGAUAGGAGGAAGGGAUAGGAGGUCAGAAUAGGAGGUAAGGAUAAGAGGACAGGAUAGGAGGUCAGGAUAGGAGGUCGGCAUAGGAUGUCGGGAUAUGAGGACGGGAUAGGAGGUCGGGAUAGGAGGAAGGGAUAGGAGGUCGGGAUAGGAGGUCGGGAUAGGAGGUCAGGAUAAGAGGACAGGAUAGGAGGACAGGAUAGGAGGUUGGGAUAGGAGGUCGGCAUAGGAAGUCGGGAUAGGAGGUCGGCAUAGGAGGUCGGGAUAUGAGGACGGGAUAGGAGGACGGGAUAGGAGGUCGGGAUAUGGCAUCAAUAUAUGAGGACGGGAUAUGAAGUCAAAAGCUUCCUCCUUUGUUUAUUUUCCUCCCCAACAAGGAUUAGGAAGGAAAAACCGGGCAAUGCUGGGUACUCAGCUAGUAUAUAUAUAUUUAUUUAUUUUAAUAGUAAAAUGGAAUAACUAAAGUAACAAAUAAAAAUAAAAAUAAAACACGCCUGCAAAAACAAUGUUAAAACUCACAUGGCUUUUUUUUGUGUUUUUUCACUCCCACACUAUGGAGAAAAACACAGCUAUUUUCCCAAAAAAACGCCAUAGUCUCAUAAGGUCGCGUCUAGGAAUCACCCAAUGAGCCCAAAAAAGCUGAAAAAAAAUGCCAAAAGGAUGAAAAAGAAACACCAAUUAGAAUAACGAAAAAAAGUGGAUAUGGCAUUUUGUAGUUCCUUAUUGACUUGCAGCUAACA